rnacentral:rRNA from 1 species
GAUGAACGCUGGCGGCGUGCCUAAUACAUGCAAGUCGAGCGAACGGACGAGAAGCUUGCUUCUCUGAUGUUAGCGGCGGACGGGUGAGUAACGCGUGGAUAACCUACCUAUAAGACUGGGAUAACUUCGGGAAACCGUAGCUAAUACCGGAUAUAUUUUUGACCGCCUUGGUUCAAAAGGAAAAAACGGUUUUGCUGUAACUAUUGAUGGAUCCGCGCUGCAUUAGCUAGUUGGUAAGGUAACGGCGUACCAAGGCAACGAUGCAUAGCCGACCUGAGAGGGUGAUCGGCCACACUGGAACUGAGACACGGUCCAGACUCCUACGGGAGGCAGCAGUAGGGAAUCUUCCGCAAUGGGCGAAAGCCUGACGGAGCAACGCCGCGUGAGUGAUGAAGGUCUUCGGAUCGUAAAACUCUGUUAUUAGGGAAGAACAUAUGUGUAAGUAACUGUGCACAUCUUGACGGUACCUAAUCAGAAAGCCACGGCUAACUACGUG